GUGAGGAAUAUUGGUCAAUGGGCGAGAGCCUGAACCAGCCAAGUAGCGUGAGGGAUGACUGCCCUAUGGGUUGUAAACCUCUUUUGCAGGGGGGUAAAGUGGUUCACGUGUGGACCAUUGCAAGUACCCUGCGAAUAAGGAUCGGCUAACUCCGUGCCAGCAGCCGCGGUAAUACGGAGGAUCCGAGCGUUAUCCGGAUUUAUUGGGUUUAAAGGGAGCGUAGGCGGGGGUUUAAGUCAGCUGUGAAAUGCCGUGGCCCAACCAUGGAACUGCAGUUGAAACUGGACCUCUUGAGAGUACAUAAGGAAGGCGGAAUUCGUGGUGUAGCGGUGAAAUGCAUAGAUAUCACGAAGAACUCCGAUUGCGAAGGCAGCUUUCCGGGGUACAUCUGACGCUGAAGCUCGAAAGUGCGGGAAUCAAACAGGAUUAGAAACCCUGGUAGUCC
rnacentral:rRNA from 1 species